AGUGAACGCUGGCGGUAGGCCUAACACAUGCAAGUCGAACGGCAGCACAGUAAGAGCUUGCUCUUACGGGUGGCGAGUGGCGGACGGGUGAGGAAUACAUCGGAAUCUACUUUUUCGUGGGGGAUAACGUAGGGAAACUUACGCUAAUACCGCAUACGACCUACGGGUGAAAGCAGGGGAUCUUCGGACCUUGCGCGAUUGAAUGAGCCGAUGUCGGAUUAGCUAGUUGGCGGGGUAAAGGCCCACCAAGGCGACGAUCCGUAGCUGGUCUGAGAGGAUGAAAGGACACACUGGAACAGAGCCGGGGCCGAGACACCUGGGGGGGGAAGAGGGGGGAAAUAUUGAAAAAGGGGGGAAAGCCGAACAAGGCAAAACCGGGGGGAGAAAGAGGGCCGUGGGUUUAAAAAGCCUUUUGGGGGGGAAAAAAAAAAAGAGGUUAAAACCCGGGGGUUUAGGAGGGUACAAAAAGAAAAAGCCCCGGCUAACUUCGUG
rnacentral:rRNA from 1 species